rnacentral:rRNA from 1 species
UGGGGAAUUUUGGACAAUGGGGGAAACCCUGAUCCAGCCAUCCCGCGUGUGCGAUGAAGGCCUUCGGGUUGUAAAGCACUUUUGGCAGGAAAGAAACGUCGCGGGUUAAUACCCCGCGAAACUGACGGUACCUGCAGAAUAAGCACCGGCUAACUACGUGCCAGCAGCCGCGGUAAUACGUAGGGUGCAAGCGUUAAUCGGAAUUACUGGGCGUAAAGCGUGCGCAGGCGGUUCGGAAAGAAAGAUGUGAAAUCCCAGAGCUUAACUUUGGAACUGCAUUUUUAACUACCGGGCUAGAGUGUGUCAGAGGGAGGUGGAAUUCCGCGUGUAGCAGUGAAAUGCGUAGAUAUGCGGAGGAACACCGAUGGCGAAGGCAGCCUCCUGGGAUAACACUGACGCUCAUGCACGAAAGCGUGGGGAGCAAACAGGAUUAGAUACCCUGGUAGUCCACGCCCUAAACGAUGUCAACUAGCUGUUGGGGGCCUUCGGGCCUUGGUAGCGCAGCUAACGCGUGAAGUUGACCGCCUGGGGAGUACGGUCGCAAGAUUAAAAACUCAAAGG